rnacentral:rRNA from 1 species
CAAAUUUCUGCCCUAUCAACUUUCGAUUGUAAAGUAGUGGUUUACAAUGGUUUGUAACGGGUAACGGGGAAUUAGGGUUCUAUUCCGGAGAGGGAGCCUGAGAAACGGCUACCACAUCCAAGGAAGGCAGCAGGCGCGCAAAUUACCCAAUCCCAAUACGGGGAGGUAGUGACAAUAAAUACUGAUACAGGGCUCUUUCGGGUCUUGUAAUUGGAAUGAGAACAAUUUAAAUUCCUUAACGAGGAACAAUUGGAGGGCAAGUCUGGUGCCAGCAGCCGCGGUAAUUCCAGCUCCAAUAGCGUAUAUUAAAGUUGUUGCAGUUAAAAAGCUCGUAGUUGAACCUUGGGCCUGACCGAUCUGUCCUCCUAAUCGAGCGCACGGAUUCGGUUGGGCCUUUCCUUCUUGGGGGAGCCCUAUGCCCUUCACUGGGCGUAGUGGG